rfam:Gossypium hirsutum cultivar TM-1 unplaced genomic scaffold scaffold1588.1, whole genome shotgun sequence
UGUUAAAAAAUUUAUCCAUUUGUACUGUUAAAAAUUGGUAUGACUAAUAGAAUAACAAGACAAUGAUACGUGGCUUCUUAAUGUAUAGGGACCAAUUUUUAACAAGAAAAAUAGAUAGAAUUUUUAACA